UCGCUUAUGCAGCACACAUACUAAAAUUGGAGCGAUACAGAGAGGAUUUGCACGGCCCCCGGGCAAGGCUGACAUGCAGUUAGUGAAGCGCUCCAUAGUUUU
rnacentral:snRNA from 1 species